rnacentral:rRNA from 1 species
UACGGAGGGGGCUAGCGUUGUUCGGAAUUACUGGGCGUAAAGGGCGCGUAGGCGGGCGCUUAAGUCGGGGGUGAAAUCCCGGGGCUCAACCCCGGAACUGCCUCCGAUACUGGGUGCCUUGAGGACGGGAGAGGUGAGCGGAAUUCCGAGUGUAGAGGUGAAAUUCGUAGAUAUUCGGAAGAACACCAGUGGCGAAGGCGACUGACUGGACAUGUAUUGACGCUGAGGUGCGAAAGCGUGGGGAGCAAACAGG